rnacentral:rRNA from 1 species
UACGUAGGGUGCAAGCGUUUAAUCGGAAUUACUGGGCGUAAAGCGUGCGCAGGCGGUGAUGUAAGACAGGUGUGAAAUCCCCGGGCUUAACCUGGGAACUGCAUUUGUGACUGCAUGGCUGGAGUGCGGCAGAGGGGGGAUGGAAUUCCGCGUGUAGCAGUGAAAUGCGUAGAUAUGCGGAGGAACACCGAUGGCGAAGGCAAUCCCCUGGGCCUGCACUGACGUCAUGCACGAAAGCGUGGGGAGCAAACAGG